rnacentral:piRNA from 1 species
UCCACUUCGUAGAACCAAGUUGGGC